ACUAACAAGGAUUCCCCUAGUAACUGCGAGUGAAGCGGGAAAAGCUCAAAUUUAAAAUCUGGCGGUCUUUGGCCRUCCGAGUUGUAAUCUGGAGAAGUGCUUUCCGCUCUGGACCGUGUACAAGUCUCUUGGAAUAGAGCGUCAUAGAGGGUGAGAAUCCCGUCUUUGACACGGACUACCAGUGCUUUGUGAUGUGCUUUCAAAGAGUCGAGUUGUUUGGGAAUGCAGCUCAAAAUGGGUGGUAAAUUCCAUCUAAAGCUAAAUAUUGGCGAGAGACCGAUAGCGAACAAGUACCGUGAGGGAAAGAUGAAAAGCACUUUGGAAAGAGAGUUAAACAGUACGUGAAAUUGCUGAAAGGGAAACACUUGAAGUCAGUCGCGUUGUUCAGAACUCAGCCUKGCCUUGGCUUGGUGCAUUUUCUGAAUGACGGGCCAGCAUCAAUUUUGACUGUCGGAUAAAGGCCAGAGAAAUGUGGCUCCUUUGGGAGUGUUAUAGUCUUUGGUUGCAUACGAUGGUUGGGAUUGAGGAACUCAGCAUGCCUUUAUGGUCGGGGUUCGCCCACGUUCAUGCUUAGGAUGCUGGCGUAAUGGCUUUAAAUGACCCGUCUUGAAACACGGACCAAGGAGUCUAACAUGCCUGCGAGUGUUUGGGUGGAAAAYCCGAGCGCGCAAUGAAAGUGAAAGUUGGGAUCUCUGUCGUGGAGAGCACCGACGCCCGGACCAGACCUUCUGUGACGGAUCCGCGGUAGAGCAUGUAUGUUGGGACCCGAAAGAUGGUGAACUAUGCCUGAAUAGGGUGAAGCCAGAGGAAACUCUGGUGGAGGCUCGUAGCGAUUCUGACGUGCAAAUCGAUCGUCAAAUUUGGGUAUAGGGGCGAAAGACUAAUCGAACCAU
rnacentral:rRNA from 1 species